rnacentral:rRNA from 1 species
UACAGAGGCUGCAAGCGUUAUCCGGAAUGAUUGGGCGUAAAGCGUCUGUAGGUGGCUUUUUAAGUCCGCCGUCAAAUCCCAGGGCUCAACUCUGGACAGGCGGUGGAAACUACCAAGCUCGAGUACGGUAGGGGCAGAGGGAAUUUCCGGUGGAGCGGUGAAAUGCGUAGAUAUCGGGAGGAACACCUGUGGCGAAAGCGGCGCACUGGACCACAACUGACGCUGAGGCGCGAAAGCCAGGGGAGCAAACGGG